CUCUUCAACCUCAGGACUUGCAGAAUUAAUGGAAUGCCGUCCUAAGGUUGUUGAGUU
ensembl:miRNA